AGUGAACGCUGGCGGUAGGCCUAACACAUGCAAGUCGAACGGCAGCACAGUAAGAGCUUGCUCUUACGGGUGGCGAGUGGCGGACGGGUGAGGAAUACAUCGGAAUCUACUUUUUCGUGGGGGAUAACGUAGGGAAACUUACGCUAAUACCGCAUACGACCUACGGGUGAAAGCAGGGGAUCUUCGGACCUUGCGCGACUGAAUGAGCCGAUGUCGGAUUAGCUAGUUGGCGGGGUAAAGGCCCACCAAGGCGACGAUCCGUAGCUGGUCUGAGAGGAUGAUCAGCAACACUGGAACUGAGACACGGUCCAGACUCCAACGGGAGGGAGCAGUGGGGAAUAUUGGACAAUGGGCGCAAGCCUGAUCCAGCCAUACCGCGUGGGUGAAGAAGGCCUUCGGGUUGUAAAGCCCUUUUGUUGGGAAAGAAAAGCAGCAGGUUAAUACCCCGCUGUUCUGACGGUACCCAAAGAAUAAGCACCGGCUAACUUCGUG
rnacentral:rRNA from 1 species